UAUUACAUGUGUCUUGGAGUUCUUUGCCCAAUUAGACAAACCUUCUUGAAAUUAUAGGCAUUGUUUUUUUGUCUUUGUUUUUGUUUCUCCUAAAGCAGAUGACACAGUGCUGUUUAUGUUGGCCAGCACCCAAUAAGCAAAUAAUGGGAAAUUGAUUAUUGAUUAUUUCCUCAUUCCCAAGUGAAAAGGAGAAAGGUAUCUCUAUUGGAGAUGAACGCAUGUUCAAUACACGUGGCCUGCCUGAGUCAUUAGCAAAGUGUCCAACAACUCUGAGGCGUAUCCUCAAAUGAAGCCUUGUCUCUGUGAAAUUCCUGAUAAAUCGUCAUUUUAUGGAAUGCCACAGGAAGAAGUUUUCUUUACAAGUUCUGAAGACUUGUGAUGAAUGAGUCCAUAGUUUCACCUUUGAAAAUGUCCCUGGGAGUGUCAACCCCAUCACUUUUACUUAUAUUACACUCAUAAUCAGUUCAUCUCGCCAAGAAAAAUAAUAUUAUCCUCAUGCCCAAACUUGUGACUUGAUUUGAAAACCAGUAAAUCAGAAAUAAAACUUCCCAUGUGUUUUUUUCCUACAUGAA